rnacentral:lncRNA from 1 species
GAAUAUUUAUUGGUAAGUAUAAAUCUUUUAAAAUUAAAUCUCCACAUAUUUUAAAAUAUUUUUCAUUCCUAGAUUUAAGACUUAAGUAUAUAUUGUUCGAAUAUGGUGUUUUUUAACUAUAAACAACCUAUAUUAAUAAAAUUUAACAUAUAGAUUAAUUGAUGAAAAAAAGUUUAUAUAGAUGAUAUUUAUAUUUCCUAUGGGUGAUAUAUAAAUUGUAGGAUGGGAUAGCCUAUU